rnacentral:rRNA from 1 species
GAUGAACGCUGACAGAAUGCUUAACACAUGCAAGUCAACUUGAAUUUGGGUUUUUACCUUAGGUUUGGGUGGCGGACGGGUGAGUAACGCGUAAAGAACUUGCCUCACAGCUAGGGACAACAUUUGGAAACGAAUGCUAAUACCUAAUAUUAUGAUAAUAGGGCAUCCUAUAAUUAUGAAAGCUAUAAGCGCUGUGAGAGAGCUUUGCGUCCCAUUAGCUAGUUGGAGAGGUAACGGCUCACCAAGGCGAUGAUGGGUAGCCGGCCUGAGAGGGUGAUCGGCCACAAGGGGACUGAGACACGGCCCUUACGCCUACGGGAGGCAGCAGUGGGGAAUAUUGGACAAUGGACCAAGAGUCUGAUCCAGCAAUUCUGUGUGCACGAUGAAGUUUUUCGGAAUGUAAAGUGCUUUCAGUUGGGAAGAAGGAAAUGACGGUACCAACAGAAGAAGUGACGGCUAAAUACGUG